rnacentral:rRNA from 1 species
CCUUCCAGAGUUUGAUCAUGGCUCAGGACGAACGCUGGCGGCGUGCCUAAUACAUGCAAGUCGAGCGGACAGAUGGGAGCUUGCUCCCUGAUGUUAGCGGCGGACGGGUGAGUAACACGUGGGUAACCUGCCUGUAAGACUGGGAUAACUCCGGGAAACCGGGGCUAAUACCGGAUGCUUGUUUGAACCGCAUGGUUCAAAUAUAAAAGGUGGCUUCGGCUACCACUUACAGAUGGACCCGCGGCGCAUUAGCUAGUUGGUGAGGUAACGGCUCACCAAGGCAACGAUGCGUAGCCGACCUGAGAGGGUGAUCGGGCCACACUGGGACUGAGACACGGCCCAGACUCCUACGGGAGGCAGCAGUAGGGAAUCUUCCGCAAUGGACGAAAGUCUGACGGAGCAACGCCGCGUGAGUGAUGAAGGUUUUCGGAUCGUAAAGCUCUGUUGUUAGGGAAGAACAAGUACCGUUCGAAUAGGGCGGUGCCUUGACGGUACCUAACCAGAAAGCCACGGCUAACUACGUGCCAGCAGCCGCGGUAAUACGUAGGUGGCAAGCGUUGUCCGGAAUUAUUGGGCGUAAAGGGCUCGCAGGCGGUUUCUUAAGUCUGAUGUGAAAGCCCCCGGCUCAACCGGGGAGGGUCAUUGGAAACUGGGGAACUUGAGUGCAGAAGAGGAGAGUGGAAUUCCACGUGUAGCGGUGAAAUGCGUAGAGAUGUGGAGGAACACCAGUGGCGAAGGCGACUCUCUGGUCUGUAACUGACGCUGAGGAGCGAAAGCGUGGGGAGCGAACAGGAUUAGAUACCCUGGUAGUCCACGCCGUAAACGAUGAGUGCUAAGUGUUAGGGGGUUUCCGCCCCUUAGUGCUGCAGCUAACGCAUUAAGCACUCCGCCUGGGGAGUACGGUCGCAAGACUGAAACUCAAAG